rnacentral:rRNA from 1 species
CCUACGGGUGACAGCAGUGAGGAAUAUUGGUCAAUGGGCGCGAGCCUGAACCAGCCAAGUAGCGUGAAGGAUGACUGCCCUACGGGUUGUAAACUUCUUUUAUAAAGGAAUAAAGUGAGGCACGUGUGCCUUUUUGUAUGUAAUUCAUGAAUAAGGAUCGGCUAACCCCGGUCCAGCAGCCGCGGUAAUACGGAGGAUCCGAGCGUUAUCCGGAUUUAUUGGGUUUAAAGGGAGCGUAGAUGGGUUGUUGAGUCAGUUGUGAAAGUUUGCGGCUCAACCCUAAAAUUGCAAUUGAUACUGGCAGUCUUGAGUACAGGUGAGGUAGGCGGAAUGCGUGGUGUAGCGGUGAAAUGCUUAGAUAUCACGAAGAACUCCGAUUGCGAAGGCAGCUUACUAAACUGCCACUGACAUUGAUGCUCGAAAGUGUGGGGAUCAAACAGGAUUAGAUACCCCGGUAGUC